ACGGCCGCCGCAGGGUUGGCGGACGCGCCAGAGAGUCAAGAUGGCGGAGUGAGGCACGCCGCGGUGAGCCGGCCUUUGGGCCGGGGGCGCCAUGGCCCCCGGCGCUCGAACGCUUCUGCUGGCCCCGACGAGGAUGAAUAUUUUCCUUGACUUUUGGGUGCUUUUUCGUUGGAUCUCAAAAAAGAAAACAAAAUUCUAAACUCAGGAUUUGGAAAGUAUUUCUAUUUUGUUUCCCGGAAUAAACAAUCCUGCUUCAUUUGUCUAGUCAUUUUCCCUACCGAAACAUGAGUAACUCUUGAUACCUUCGCUUAGUGAGUUGAAAUGGAAACAGCAGUUCCACCUCUCAGAUGUAACAGUCAUACCAGCUUCUCUAGGGGAAAAAAAGAAAGCAACAACCAACAAACUUCUUCGGCUGCUGUUUGCUUAAUUGGAAAGAAAUUUAAGAAAGGUUGGUGUUUAAUUUGAAACAGGUAGUAUUUGUGAGUUCUUGGUUUGGGCCUGAACAAGAAGGAAGAGUAAAUAGCAAGUAUGGAUCACACCAGGGUUUUGUUUUGUACUCUUUCAGUGCCAGCCACUCUCAACGAUCAGCAUGGUUAAGACUGCAGAAGUAAAUUCUGGUGAGAAAGAUGCUAACAGUUAUAUAUAGAAAUCCUGCCUUAUCCUGUGGCGCAAAUUUUCUGGAUAGAACAAAAUCCCAAUCCUGCAAUGAAUAUUUAUGUGAUGGUGUGAUAAGGAAGCAUAAAGAUACAGUAGCAUAAGAUGCAUUUCAUAUGUAAAGACACAAUUGCUCUACAUACAUUUUUACAUGUGUGAAUCAACAUUUUUGGAAGAGAAUGAGGGAUUUUACUCCUGGAGAAGAAGCUGUUAUUUAUUCCUCAGAAAUCUGAACAUUUGAUUUUUUUAAUGCUUAUUAAAAAUGAAUGCUUUCAUUCUCUUAUGUAACAAUCCUAUUGUGUAGGUGUGAAUUCUGUGACUACAUACUUAGGUUUAGUGAAAGAUUGGUUUAAAAAAAAAACAAAAGUUUUAAAUCUAGUGAUGGAACCUCAUUCACUACCAUAAGGUGAGAGGCUACUGUGCUAUAAAUUGUUUCAUUCCUUUUUGUGGAGUCUCUGUAUCACUUGGACUUGGUUUUCCAUGCUACUGAGGUUGGAAGAAAAGGGACUGGUGUUCCUGAACAGAAGAGAAGAUGGAAUCCUCAUGUAUGACCUGCCUUCAGCUUUGGCAUUGGUGGAGAGAACAUGGGUGGAGAUGAGAAGGUUUUCGUAUAACUCCUUCUAAGAAAAAGAAGCAAGAAUGCCUCGUGCAGGGCCUGGGCGUGGCACAGUGGUUAAAGUACAUGCCUUAAAUGCAGGAGACCUGGGUUCAGUCCAGGCAUUGCAAAAAAAAAAAAAAAGCCUCAUGUGACUCCACCCAGUGCAGCUCCAGCCAACUUUAUGGUCUUUUAUAUUUUAUAACUCCACCUUUUUGUAAAAUCCUGAGUAAUUUUUAUUUUACCUAAAUAGAUUCUUUGAUGUCUGCUUUCUUUUUUCUAAACAGUGGGUGAAAGGUUAAACUGAGAAGACUGGGACUCUGGUCACUUACUCCAGGUGACACUAAACUUUUUCAUCAGAGAAUGAUGCAUGUUAUUGUUCCUAAACUUGUGGUUCACUCAGUAUAGAUUUGUGGGGAAAACUCAAGAAAAACAGUUCCGGUAAGAAAACUUCCUCUUCCUGUAACACUUAUGCCAUGUGCUCAGCAGACUAAGGCUGUCCCUCACAGAGUCACAGAGGGUUACAAUUGUCAGCUCACUGCACAGGUAGAGUGCAGUCUUGAUGAGUCUUUGUAGCUAGAGUUUGAAACUUCUUAGACAAAAUUUAAGAAUAUUUUUAGAGGGGCUGGAGAUACAGCAGUGUGGGUAAGGUGCUCGCUUUGCAUGUGGCUGGCCCAAGUUCAGUCUCCAGCACUCAGUAUGAUCCUCUAAGCACAGAGCCUAGAGUAAGCCCUGAGCACCACUGAGUAUGGCUCAAAAACCAAAAUUAAAAAGUAGUGUUAGAUUGACGCUGACUUAGGAAAUGUGGUAUUUUCUGUGGUGCUGGGGAUGGAACCCAGGCCCCAUUGCUGCAAAGCAAGUGCUGGACCAUUGAACCACAUACAGGCUUGAUUUAGGGAAGUAUUCCCAGGGCAUGCUUGAAUGCUGAAGACUUGGGUCAGAUAUGCCAGUAUUUGUGAGCACCAGCAGUAGGAAAGUGUCACACACUGAUUAGUCCAGUUGGCCAAACAAUGUAAAUUGGUAUAAGAAUGGUUUUUUAAAAAACUAGUUGUUAUUAUAUUAUAAAAAUAUAAUCGUUUCCUUUAAUUGAAAACAUUUGCUGAGAAAUAUAGAAAUAACUUUGGGUAAAGGUAACUAACAUUUUUUUCUAGAUGGACUCUAGAAAUAGAACAGCCGGUAGGGUGUUUGCCUUGCAAGCUGCCAACCCAGGUUUCAUUCCCAGAGCACCAUAUGGUCCCCCCCACCCCCCGGCUCAACAGGAGUAAUUCCUGAGUCAGGAGAAACCUCUGAAUACACCUUUGGGUGUGGCCCAAAAACCAAAAGAAAUUUGUUUUUCUAUAUGUAACUUCCAAGCCUUUCUUGAUGUUUUCAUUUAGUAUUCUGGAAUUGUUAGACAAAAAUGGAGCCUACAUUCAUGAUUCCUGUUAGUAUAUUGAGAAUGUCUUAUCAAGGAGAAUUUGUAUCUCAAAUGUCUGUCACCCAUCUCCCUUUUGGCUUUUCAGCAACUUUUUGAACAGGAUCAUUUGGCAGGGAAAAAAGGGUACCUGUACUAUUUACACCAGUGAAACCCAUACUAAACCUGUAUAUUUGUUUGAAUAUACAUCAGACCUAGCUUCUGUAGCUACUUGUUCAUUUCACAGCUUUAAAAUACCCACUCUUUAUGUUUUCACAUUCCUCCUGCAUCUUUCAUGGUUCUCAUCUACUGACAUAAAACAAAAUUCCCAUUGUACUUACAUAAUGUAUUUUUGACACCUGCAUUUUUCCUAUUUCGGUCCUUUUGAAAACCAAACCUCUCAUUUUAGGCAAGAUAUGUCUGCUCUUUUCUUUUACUAAUCCAUGUUAGCUGAUUUUUUUUUCUUUUAAAAUGAUAAAAAAAAAAAACGGGACAUGUGCAAUAUAUAUAAAUAUGUAUAUUUUAAUACUUGUGGACAAAUGUUACAAGUUGUUUAAGAACAACAAAAUCACCAAUGUCUUCCAUUUUGAGAUGUGUAUAGUUUUGUAAGCAUUGCUUAGUAGCUUGUAGUGCCGUGUUAAGGAUUAGUGCAUGAGCUAAUUAAUAGUUUGAAACUUCAAGAUGAAUUACUGAUAAUAACCAAUAAUGUAAAAAAAAUAAGGAAAAUCUAGACUCUUUCUUCCAUAAAUUCCUGAAUCUGAUAUUCUCCACGGGAGAAGGAGUUCAAGACCAAAAAGAUUCAUGUAUAAAUAGAAAUACGGGGUCACAAGAUGAAAUACUAUCUUUGAGAAUAUAGGAGUUCUUCAUGGAUGGCUGAAAACCAAGUGGCUUUUGUAUUAUAAAAAUUCUCAAAGUAAAGUAAGGCCCCAAGUCAUUCUGCUUUGCUUUUUUAGGUGAGAUUUUUCUUUAACUAUUCUCACCUUUUAUGUCUUAUAGGUUUAUUAUUUUCUACUUAUUCACUGAGAAAUUAUUUUACAUUUUGCAUGUCUCAUUGAAAUGCUUUGUUAGUUGCUUGAGUGCUUUUCUAAACUGCAGACCACUUAGUUCCUGUCUGCAGCAUGAUGUGUAUUCAUCUAGGAACAAUGAUCAGUACUUUAGUGUCCUAGAUUAAUUUGUCCUAGAUUAAUAGGGCUUUUCCUAUAUUCCAGAUCUGCUUAAUUGUAUAUUGGUGAGACACCAGCCUUAGGAGAGUUGGAAAUGUAGCUAGAUGUAGCCUCCCUAGAAUGCCAUGUAAUAACUGGUUCUUUUGCUUGGUGUUGCAGGCUGUCCCUGGAUAGCUUUUGUUCUCCUACUUUCCUUAUAGAAGUAAAAAUGGUUUGUUCUGAAAGCCACCUAAAGAAUUUUGGAGGGUGUUUAGGUGACAUUUAGGUAUCAAUAUUAGGGGAGUCCAGGAUUUGUUGACAGGAUGCUAUUGUAACAUAAUAUGAAAUACAAACUGAUUUGAAAUGUGUGUCUUUUGUGCAGAAGCUAGCUAAACGAGAAUCUGGGGUCACAGAUCUCCAGGGACCCAGGCUUAGAUUCUCAUAGUUUAAUACUUAAAGUAGUUGUACUGUUGGUUCAAGUGAUUUCUUUUAGUGCCUGGGAAAAUUGCAUUUUUGAAAAGCAUUUAAGCAUUUUUUAAAAUACCUCUGAAAAGGUAAUAAAUGCAGAAUAGCACAGCAUAUAGGAAAGGUUAUUUCCUGUUAUUUAAAAAUAAAAAGCCAUAAAACAGAUUAAUACUUUUCAAAAGUUAGAAUUUUAGUAGCAAUAAGUUUGCGUGUAUUGACUGCAUUAGCAAGGAUGUACAUUAGAAUAAGUAUUACUACUUGAAUUUGUAAGGUUCUGCAACCAAGAGUUGCACAGAAUGAAAAAUGUUUUAGGUAAAGGGUAUAUGAAAGGUACUUUGUUUUUAAACUAUGAAUGUAUAUUAAUAUGUCAUGUGUGAGAAUAAACAACUUCUGUAUAAGUUUAAGGUUAAAGGCCCUGUUUUCCCACAGCAGAUUUAGAGCCUUUGAACAAACUUUCCUAGUGCUUAAUCUGAAAACAAAUUUACUGAUGUAGCUCACUCAAGUUGUGUGGGGUUUUUCCUUAUGCUUUUGUUUUAGCAACAGGCAUUUAUAGAAUGACUUACUUUUUAUUUUAUCUCCUCAUUUGUAUUAAUUUCCAGGAUGCAUAGAAGAUAUACAUUCAUUCUAUGUAGAAGUAGGAUUUAUUUUAAAACCCAAGAACUUGGGUCACUGACUUGUCCUCAUAUCCAUGGUUAGGUUGGGGAAAUUAGGAUUUUAAACGUGUAAAGCAAGGACCAGAGAAUUACAGUAUAGCAGGCAGGGUGCUUGCCUUGCACAAAGCCAACCUAUAUCCCAUCCCCUGUACCCCAUACGGUUUUCUGAGCCUGAGCUUCACCAGGAGUGAUCCCUAGGCCCUGAGAACUUCCAGGUGUGAUCCAAACCCCCACCUCCCCAGCCCCCAUAAAAAGUAGGAUUGAAGGAUAGCCAAAGGUAGUAUGUUAGAUUUCCUGCCCCCACCCCAGCUUCAUUAGCCUCAUAUCACCUAUGAUUAUUUUAACUGAAACCUAGCAAAUUAAUUUCUUGAUCUGAGGAAUCAUACAACUCAUCAAGAUAUAACAUAAACUAAGGAUUACUACUUCCUCCCUUUUACCUCAUUUUUCGUCUAGCCAAUUAGUACCUUGAAGAUCCGUAAAAAGAUUGGGUCUGUGUUCUCUUGUUUUCUCGGGAAAAACUCAAAAGAUGGGCUAGAUCUAAAAGUGGCUCUUGACUAUUUGAUUCUUAUAUGGCAACUCCAGAUAAUAGGGAGAAGGCUGUAUUAAAUUGGUGAUAGCUCCUCUUUAAAUGUCUCAUACAUCAGUUGGUGUUAGACAUACUGGAAUAACCAAGCAAUAUUAAGAUAUAUGCAGGAUCAUACUGUUGUGAAUUACAGUGAUGUUAACAGUUUAGUUAUAUAUAGAACAAAGAUUAGCCUUGUCACAUUAUUAGUACUUAAUACAAAAAUGUAGUACCAGAGUAUGCGGUUACUUUCCAAUGUUACGGUCUCAUGUUUACUCUUUUUGUGUACCUGUGAUAUGCAAAAUAAGAAGAGACCCUUGGCCUCCAGUAGUUUACAAUCUUACGGUGCUGCUGGUGCAAGCAAAUUGUAGGUCUUUCAGAACAUUGCUUGGCUAAUAGUAUUCAGAAAGAAACCUUGGCUAACAGUUUUCAAAAGCAGAGGGCUAUGAUAAAUUUCAGGGCAUUGAUUUGAGUUUACAUUGUAUUAGCUCUGUGCUUUAUAAACUCCUUUCCCCCAGGGAGCUGUGCAGGUCAUGCUCAUUACUGUGUAUGAGAAAAAUAAUUCGCCGCCAACACCAUCCCACAGUCACCAAGGUUCUUCUAUGCUAUCGCUGUCAUAAACUGUCCUAAAUGGCCAAGAAAACAGUGCUCCAAAAGACUCCAUCUUUCCAGUCUCUUUUCCCAGAAUUCUUAUAUCAUUCACUACAAAAAAAAUCCAGGAGUUUUUGUAACUGAAUAGUGGUCCUAAUUCUACCCCUUUUGCGUGUGACUGUUCUACUUCUAUUCUGAAGCAGCAUUAUGGUAGCUGUGGAGCACCUGCCUGCAUUUCUAAGCAGUCACUUUAUUUAUCCAUAUUUUCAAUUGAAAUUUUGCAUGUAUCCUUAUUUUCCCUAAUUUCUCUGGCUCAAGGGAUUUAUUCUGCAUGUUAUUAAAAAUUGGGUCUGGUUGGAAAUGCAAGCAAUAGUGGCAGGCCCAUAAUUGACUUUAGAGUACUAAUAACCUAAUGCAUGAUUUAACAUGUCCAAUGUUAUAUACUAGUAAUUAUAUGUAUGCAUUUAAUGAUGAAGCAAGAGAGACUUUGGUUUAAAAGUAGCUUGAAUUUCCAUUUUUGUUUCCUAACUAAAGAUGAUCUUCUACUGAAAAUGGGAGCUAGAGGUAAAGAGGGGCAACCACAAGACAUGUGAACUGUCAGGAGUAGAGCAUUACAGUGUUUACCCUCUAACCUUUCUUGCCAGUUACACUAGUCUCCAAGCAUGUUUUAAAACAAAAGGCUUGUACAAUCUAAGCAUGUUAUAUAAGUAUGCCUAUAAUCAGAAGGGUGCAGAGUUUUAGAAAUGAGAGGAAAGUAGGGAAUACCAGUAUGUAAAAUAACUAGAUACGGCAUUUGUCUGGUGAGGUUUAUGUGGCUUAAAUUUGAAUUUUUUAAAAACUAGUAUCUUGACAGUGAAGAGGCAAAGUGCACAUGUUUUAAGGUUUCCAGGUUCCUUUGGGGUAACAGUUAGGCAGCCAUUCUGAAUGAGUGUUGACCAAUCAGGUGGGAUCUCUGCGAUAAUGAAGUCCUUUCCAUUUCUGGAAAUAGUCUUGAAAAUAUUGACACUUCUGUGGUUUGGUUUCUCUGUUAUUAUAUUAACUGUAUUAUAUUAACAAUUAGCUUUUAACUUAGAAACUUAAAUUCAUUCUUGUUGUGUAGGUUAAACUGUAUAAAUCAAGGCCUAAAACUUCUGGUGUCCCAUUUUCAAAAAGUUGUUUUAUUUGAUGAAGCAACCUAUUAACGUAAAGCUUUUCUUAAAUAGAUUCCUAACUUUAACCAAUCCUUUCUAAGUAAAAGUGACCAGGACAAGUACAGCAGAAAUGGGAAUUCUAAUGUCUGAAAGGCCUUAAACAGAAGACCUCGAUACACUAUUUUUCAACAGGCCCCUUCCAAGUUUCAUGUUCUAUGAUUGAAAAAUAAUUUCUCCAAGAUUACCCAAACCUCAUUAUCCUUCUGUGGGACUUAACUCCAGAGUAUCUUUCAGAAAGAUUAUCAUCAGUUUUCAGAAGAUUUUCUCCCUCGAUGAUGUAUCAUGCCAGCAACUGAAAUUCAUUUUUCUCCCAGUGAUUAAAAGAUAUACUGGCAAUGUGUUUCUAUAACAGUAAUGUUUUUUUUGUGUGUGUUUACCUCAAAAUUACCUAUCUCUUGUAAUGGAAAAAAAAGUGUCCGUAAAUAUUUCCCAUAUUUACUGUGUGCAAGGGUUGCUCAAGUUUCUAGUUACUGUUCUACAUCUUCUCCAUUGCAGCACUGGUAUAUGAGAUAAUGUUCGAAAGAUUUGGUUGAAUGUUUAAAAGAAUGACUAAAGGCAGCUUUAAUCUAUGCAUUGGGGUUUGAAAGAAAUUUUAUUCUUUGAUGUCAAUGUGAAAAGGAACUGCUGUAAGAGUUGGGAACUCUGCACCUGUGUGUGUGUGUGUGUGUACAUAUAUAUAUAUUUUGGCAAUAAAGCAGCAUGUGCUGAGAAUA